GACGAACGCUGGCGGCGUGCUUAACACAUGCAAGUCGAACGAAGUGGCGAACGGGUGAGUAACGCGUAAGCAACCUGCCCUUCAGAGGGGGACAACAGGUGGAAACGACUGAUAAUACAGAAUACGGAAGGAGGGGUGUGAGUUUGAUUGGGUAGUUGGAGGGGUAACGGCCCACCAAGGCGAUGAUCAGUAGCCGGGCUGGAAGGAUGAACGGGCAAAUUGGGACUGAGACACGGCCCAGACUCCUACGGGAGGCAGCAGUUGGGAAUCUUCCGCAAUUGACGAAAGUCUGACGGAGCAACGCCGCGUGAGUGAUGGCGGCCUUCGGGUUUUAAAGCUCUGUUAAUCGGGACGCGUUACCGGAAUAGAAAGCCACGGCUAACUACGUGCCAGCAGCCGCGGUAAUUC
rnacentral:rRNA from 1 species